rnacentral:rRNA from 1 species
UACGUAGGGGGCAAGCGUUGUCCGGAAUUAUUGGGCGUAAAGGGCGCGUAGGCGGCCCGCUAAGUCGAACGUGAAAUCCCCGAGCUCAACUCGGGAACUGCGUCCGAUACUGGUGGGCUUGAAUCCGGGAGAGGGAUGCGGAAUUCCAGGUGUAGCGGUGAAAUGCGUAGAUAUCUGGAGGAACACCGGUGGCGAAGGCGGCAUCCUGGACCGGCAUUGACGCUGAGGCGCGAAAGCUAGGGGAGCAAACAGG